AAUAUUGGUCAAUGGAGGCAACUCUGAACCAGCCACGUCGCGUGAAGGAUGUCGGCCCUACGUGUNGAUAACUUCUUUUAUACAGGNAUAAAGUGAGUCACGUGUGACUUUUUGCAUGUACUGUAUGAAUAAGGAUCUUCUAACUCCGUGCCAGCAGCCGCGGUAAUACGGAGGAUCCAAGCGUUAUCCGGAUUUAUUGGGUUUAAAGGGUGCGCAGGCGGAAGAUUAAGUCGGCGGUGAAAUUUUGCAGCUCAACUGGAAAAGUGCCUUCGAAACUGAUUUGCAGGAGUGUAGAUGAAGUAGGCGGAAUUUGUGGUGUAGCGGUGAAAUACAUAGAUAUCACGAGGAACUCCGAUUGCGCAGGCAGCUUACUAAACUACUACUGACGCUCAGGCACGAAGGCGUGGGGAUCAAACAGG
rnacentral:rRNA from 1 species